CUCUCCGUGAUUUCAGUAGGUCACGAAAUUAACUGGUACAGACUUCGGACACAUCUGCUCUUUUGGCAACUCGUGCCCUCGGCGAGGCUGCUCAUUGGCUCGCCCUAACCAUGCGAUGGGUCUCCAGGAGCUGAUUUGUGCUCCCCGAGCUAAGUGCAGCGCAGUGACGAAGCCCGACCAUUUCGAAAAUGCUGAAGCACGUACCAGGGGCUGAACCUUCCCGGCAACUGCAGCGCAGCCUCACAUGUUCCCGAAGAGCUCUGUGGACCCCUGAGUGGAGGGGGGCGCGGGGGGUUGCUGCAUGUGGCUGAAUGCUGCUUUGCAAGGCUCAGACUCAGGAAAAUGCCAGGGGGUUCAGGAAAAUGUAGCAAAGCAAUGAAGGGUGGUGCUGCAUCAAUUCUGCUGCUGGCUGCUGUGUCAAGCCAGAAGCUGGAGGUCAAGUGCCUGCUGCAAAUCCAGCUCUGAUCUGCUGGUCUGCCCUAAGCCUUUUGCCUCUGUGCCUGUUGUCAGUCAGGUGUGUGCCUACCCUUUGCACAAGUAAAGGUUGUGUCAACAUGUGAAACAUUUUUGGGACAAGACAAAAAUUUGGAUCCUAGGCAUGGCUGGUGGUCAAUGGUCAUUCCAUAAAGGAUUUCACAGAGCAACAGAAACAGAGACUGCAGAAGAAGCCUCUGGUCAGGAACACAAAUGGAAUAGGAAACACGAAACAUCUCCAGGAUCAAUGCAGGAGCUGUCCAGAGCAAAGAGGGAAACCCUGGUGCUUGUGCGGUAGCACGAAAACUGCCAGGAUUUGGUUGAAAAGGAGAUUGCAAAACUGCAGGAAAGAGCUUCCAUUGUUUGCUCGGGAUCCUGAAGGGCCAUCUGCAUUAUUGUCUCUCUGCAGAGAUGUGUCUUUGCCCACAGAAAAACCUGGAAAAGUGUGCGGUGGGAGAUGGACAGACCACGUAGGAGAUACAGUUCUCCUCCAUCAGACCAAAGGCGUGGCCAGUCAGCAUUGGCCCACCUCAGGGAAGGGGAAACUAAGAAAUAAAGAGCGGAACUGGGUGUGCAGCACUGUAAGUAGGGGAACUGUAUCAAGACCAUCCAGGGAUUUAUCCCCUGCACACAACCCAUGCCAUCUCUCUGUGCCACGCAUGGCAUGGUGAGCUGCAGCUGCCAGUGGUGCUGGUGGCAGUGCUUUUAGCAGAGGCUAAGCUGCAAAUCUCUGUGUUGUCGAGCAACCUUAGUGCAAAUAAUCAGAGGCAUACACUAAUCCUAUAAGGCUAGAUGGUGGCCAGACCCGGUGUGGGAGCACAGCAUGCAAGAGCAAGAGAGGAGUCUACUUCACUCCCUAUCUGGAUUUGCAGCUCCUGGACUCUCUGCAAGCUCCUGGGGUAAAACACAUUCCUAGCCCUUUCCCUCCUAUCCACCAUGCCAGAAAAGUCUUUGCUGCUGCACUGCUGAGGCCUGCAGGGGUGUAUUCAGCACUUCGUGAAGAAGCAUCCCUAUUAAAGAUCUCUGUGGAGGCAAAC
rnacentral:lncRNA from 1 species